UGUUUUUUUUUUAAGUCUAUAGUUUGUAGUAAUCUUGAUAAAAUGCAGCAUUGAAUCUGACCAACUGCACUAUCUUCCAUGUGCAUUUCUGCAGUCAGUGGGGAAUACCCCAAGCCUUGACAUUUGGGCUGGAAUGCCGCUGAGAGUAACUGGUAUCAGGAGUGCAGGGCUUUGUGUGAACUGUAGCCAUGAGCGGAGUAGCACUCAGGCAUGAUGUGGGCUGAGGGGACUGCAGCUGAGCCAAGGGCCAAAGGCAGAGUAGCCAACUACCAGAUUUAGUGAUGUGCCCCAUUGGGGGAGUCGUCGAGGUCAGUGGCUGAUUUAAGACAACUGGUAAUGUGAGAGGGGACAUGGGGGGCAGGGAAUCAGAGUGUAAAUUACAGGACUGAGGCUGCUGUAAUUUAGGCCUGAUCUACAUUUUAAAAGUUUUACCAGCAUAACUCUGUAUGAUUUUUGUACUGACAUAUUUCUGCCAGUAAAAGCCGUAGUGUAGACCCAUUGUAAGGCACUUACCUGUGUACUUGAUUUCACAUUGCUGAAUCAGAAUAAGCCUAGUUAAAACGGCAACACUUCUAUCUAUGGACGAGGCCUCAAACAAGGAACCAAGAAAGCCCUGUACAGCCUCUGAAUUCCCCAAGAGAAGGAACAGAAUAAUGGGGAACUAGGACCAGCUAGUUAAUGCCAGGAUAGGGGGACACAGAUCAGCAUUCAUGUCUCACUCCCCGUCGGUAUCCGGCCUGAGCCGAGGAACCCAAUGAUCCAAGCAGCGGACCCAAUUCGGUGAUAAACCCUACUCAUAUGCCACCUGGGGCACAUUGCACAUACUCUAAGAAGAAGAAGAAUGCCAGGUCACUCAUACCUUGCCCUCCUGACCUCAGACACUGCCUCCUGAGCAAAGUGAGGGAUGACUGCUCAUCAGUUCAGAGGAACUUGCCUGUACUGUGAAUAUCAUUAACAUCAAGGACACAUUAAGGACUAUUUGUAAUCGUUUGUCACCAAGGUAAACAGAGAAGCAGAUUUGUGAAUGAAGCUGAUUGGACCGAAAUAUGGGGUGCAGCAAAAAUAGAGACAUUUUUGAGAUGUUACUAGAGGACAGGGAACAGAAUUCUAGGAUGACCUUAACUCUCAGCGAUAAUAGAGUAGAACAAGCCCAUAGUAUUUAUAUGGACUUGUUUAACAUUCCAUGCUGUUUGUAGGUGUAUACGUGGGGUGUCUAUGUUCUCUCUAUAAGAGGAUUUCUGGGCUGUCUGUCCCUUAGGCAGCACCAAUAUUAAGGAGAUAAAAGAUUUUAUAAACGAAGGCUGUAAUUGUUCGGAUGUGCUGGGAACUAUUUCUAAACAUGCACAUUGGUGACUGAUUUAUACAUGUUGUCUGUGCACUGGAAGAGGAAAGAAAGAUUUGCUGGUACUUAGCAUAACUGUUGCAGGAAGAAAAAAGCAGUGGAGAAAGGUGUGGCAGUGUGUUGUGUUAUCUGUCUGUGCUUAGUUAUGCAUAGCCUCCUUCCUGCAAAGAUAUAGGUCAGACAAACUAUGCACAUAAUUAUAAUUUUUCCUGGUCAACUUAAAAAAUCUGGAUCUGAACACACUGGCAUCACUGAAGUAGUUUGGAUCUGUAGCUAAGACAGUAUCACAGGUCAUUUUCUCUAUAACAAACCAAACACCUGCAUCAGAACCCCCUUGAAUUUUCAGCAUGGCCCAUCUGUAUCCUGAACCAGAUGUGUCUCAUGAUGUGGAGAUGGCAUAACUGUCUCUGUAAAUUCAUCUGGAAUACACAUUAAAGGAACCUAAAUGGAGUAUGUAGUAUUCAUGGUGAGUUUGUGUGUAAUCAAAAUUAUAUGCAGUUUUGCUCACCAUAUUCCUUAGAUGCGAAACUAUCAUUUGUAGUAUUGAGAUGCCCAUGCAGAUGUAGCUAAAAUCCUGCAGUCGUGUUUCCUAAUACGAGAAUAAUCUAACUACCAACUGCAGGAGAAGAGAUCCAUAACUAAGUAGAAAUUACAACCAAUUGAAACGGGGAAAACUAAAAAAUAAACCUAAUACACAGUUUCCUUAAGAAGAGGACUCAUGGUUAACAAGUGUCACCCAUGAUGUCCCCCACACUUUAUGUAAUGGAGUUUUAAAAUAGUUUGGCCAUAACUAUAUUAGCAGCUUUUUGAGUGGAACCCAAGAUGGAACAAUCCCUGUCCCAAGGAUCGUAGUGCAUCUGCAAUUGGUACUGAUGUGCCAUCUUCAGAGCAAAAGUCCCCACAUGAAUUCUCACCUAAUGCCAAAAUGGAGAACAGAUGUUUCAUUUUACAAGUAUUGAGGAAAGAUGGCAUCAGGUGCCUCGGGUCCCCAGAUAUCAAAGUCAUCGUUUGAUUUAAGAAUGUAACAAUGAGCAACCAACUGGUAAGAAACAGCUAAGGACCAAUAUCUAAUUGAGACCAGCUGGUGUCCAGGGUUUCUACACAUGAAUUCAAUUAGUCUCUGCGUCAGUAAUUCUCUGUUCCCACCCUGUCAUGGUUUUGGAAUAAAUACUGUACUAUUGCCAUGGAUCUCCAGGUGCUGAGUAUGUGUCCCGUAGUUAUACAGUCCUUGUCUAGUGAUGGCUUUGUCUUUUUCUUUCUCUCUUUUUAAAGUCCGCUUUUAGAUUCUGUUCUCUGGCUUUUCAUGCUUGGAGGUUACCCGUAUAAUUGUGAGCCAGUGAGAACACAAUAAAAGUCAUCAUAAAUUCAGGAUCACAUGGCAUCUAGGUCUGAUGUUCCUUCUUUUACCAUUAUUAAGACGAUAAUAAGCGUUUACAUUUUUAUAAUAAUUUUGCACUAUGCAUAGACAGCCUAAUUCUCUGUUGUGCUUAAGCCCCUUUAUGUUGAUUUGGUAGAAUAAAGGAUCCUUUAACCAGAAGGCAGCAAUCACUUCCAGGGACUGCCCCCGGUGUGAGAAGAUUCCCUGGCCAGCUGGAGGUGUCAGAAAGACUUACACCAAGCUCCUCUCUGGUCCCCAGUGCAGGAAUUCAAAGUGAUUAGGGAAAAAUGGAAGAAUUCAUGCUGCAGGUCAGGUCUGAACAAAGAAGAGCAGAACAUGCAGGGAGACACUCAUUUACUGCUUGCUGCUGCCGUUUCUGGAAAGUACAUGUUCCAGUUGCAGUUUCCUAUGGAACGUCUUUACCAAUGAAGAGACCAUCAGGAUCUAACUGCUGUAUCUGGAAACCCUUGGGGGAGAGAGGCACAUUUCUAGAUUGUCAUUCUGCCUGGAUGAGAUUGGAGGCUCAUUACCGAAUUAGAAGAUUAUAAACCUAAUAACACACAGCUAAAUUUCAGGUUUCCAAAGUCAUUCUUCAUAACUCCUCCUCUCUCCCCCCCCCCCCC